rnacentral:rRNA from 1 species
GAACGCUGGCGGCGUGCCUAAUACAUGCAAGUCGAGCGAACAGAUAAGGAGCUUGCUCCUUUGACGUUAGCGGCGGACGGGUGAGUAACACGUGGGUAACCUACCUAUAAGACUGGAAUAACUCCGGGAAACCGGGGCUAAUGCCGGAUAACAUGUUGAACCGCAUGGUUCUACAGUGAAAGACGGUCUUGCUGUCACUUAUAGAUGGACCCGCGCCGUAUUAGCUAGUUGGUGGGGUAACGGCCUACCAAGGCGACGAUACGUAGCCGACCUGAGAGGGUGAUCGGCCACACUGGAACUGAGACACGGUCCAGACUCCUACGGGAGGCAGCAGUAGGGAAUCUUCCGCAAUGGGCGAAAGCCUGACGGAGCAACGCCGCGUGAGUGAUGAAGGUCUUCGGAUCGUAAAGCUCUGUUGUUAGGGAAGAACAAAUGUGUAAGUAACUGUGCACAUCUUGACGGUACCUAACCAGAAAGCCACGGCUAACUACGUGCCAGCAGCCGCGGUAAUACGUAGGUGGCAAGCGUUAUCCGGAAUUAUUGGGCGUAAAGCGCGCGUAGGCGGUUUUUUAAGUCUGAUGUGAAAGCCCACGGCUCAACCGUGGAGGGUCAUUGGAAACUGGAAAACUUGAGUGCAGAAGAGGAAAGUGGAAUUCCAUGUGUAGCGGUGAAAUGCGCAGAGAUAUGGAGGAACACCAGUGGCGAAGGUGACAGGUGGUGCAUGGUUGUCGUCAGCUCGUGUCGUGAGAUGUUGGGUUAAGUCCCGCAACGAGCGCAACCCUUGAACUUAGUUGCCAUCAUUCAGUUGGGCACUCUAAGUUGACUGCCGGUGACAAACCGGAGGAAGGUGGGGAUGACGUCAAAUCAUCAUGCCCCUUAUGAUUUGGGCUACACACGUGCUACAAUGGACAAUACAAAGGGCAGCGAAACCGCGAGGUCAAGCAAAUCCCAUAAAGUUGUUCUCAGUUCGGAUUGUAGUCUGCAACUCGACUACAUGAAGCUGGAAUCGCUAGUAAUCGUAGAUCAGCAUGCUACGGUGAAUACGUUCCCGGGUCUUGUACACACCGCCCGUCACACCACGAGAGUUUGUAACACCCGAAGCCGGUGGAGUAACCAUUUUGGAGCUAGCCGUCGAAGGUGGGACAAAUGAUUGGGGUGAAGUCGUAACAAGGUAGCCGUAUCGGAAGGUGCGGCUGGAUCACCUCCUUUCU